rnacentral:rRNA from 1 species
CCUACGGGAGGCUGCAGUAGGGAAUUUUCGUCAAUGGGCGCAAGCCUGAACGAGCGAUGCCGCGUGAGUGCAGAAGGCCUUCGGGUCGUAAAGCUCUGUUUCUGGGGAAAAAAGGCAGCAUCAGGAAAUGGGUGCUGACUGAUUGUGCCCCUCCAGAAAGUCACGGAUAACGACAUGCCAGCAGCCGCGGUAAUACGUAGGUGGCGAGCGUUGUCCGGAAUGAUUGGGCGUAAAGGGUGCGCAGGCGGUCCUGCAAGUCUGGAGUGAAACGCAUGAGCUCAACUCAUGCAUGGCUUUGGAAACUGGAGGACUGGAGAGCAGGAGAGGGAGGUGGAAUUCCAGGUGUAGCGGUAAAAUGCGUAGAUAUAUGGAAGAACACCAGGUGCGAAGGCGGCCGCCUGGCCUGUUGCUGACGCUGAGGCACGAAAGCGUGGGGAGCAAAUAGGAUUAGAUACCCUUGUAGUC